rnacentral:rRNA from 1 species
UGCCUGAUGGAGGGGCUCAGAUUGAACGCUGGCGGCAGGCCUAACACAUGCAAGUCGAACGGUAACAGGAAACAGCUUGCUGUUUCGCUGACGAGUGGCGGACGGGUGAGUAAUGUCUGGGAAACUGCCUGAUGGAGGGGGAUAACUACUGGAAACGGUAGCUAAUACCGCAUAAUGUCGCAAGACCAAAGAGGGGGACCUUCGGGCCUCUUGCCAUCGGAUGUGCCCAGAUGGGAUUAGCUAGUAGGUGGGGUAACGGCUCACCUAGGCGACGAUCCCUAGCUGGUCUGAGAGGAUGACCAGCCACACUGGAACUGAGACACGGUCCAGACUCCUACGGGAGGCAGCAGUGGGGAAUAUUGCACAAUGGGCGCAAGCCUGAUGCAGCCAUGCCGCGUGUAUGAAGAAGGCCUUCGGGUUGUAAAGUACUUUCAGCGGGGAGGAAGGGAGUAAAGUUAAUACCUUUGCUCAUUGACGUUACCCGCAGAAGAAGCACCGGCUAACUCCGUGCCAGCAGCCGCGGUAAUACGGAGGGUGCAAGCGUUAAUCGGAAUUACUGGGCGUAAAGCGCACGCAGGCGGUUUGUUAAGUCAGAUGUGAAAUCCCCGGGCUCAACCUGGGAACUGCAUCUGAUACUGGCAAGCUUGAGUCUCGUAGAGGGGGGUAGAAUUCCAGGUGUAGCGGUGAAAUGCGUAGAGAUCUGGAGGAAUACCGGUGGCGAAGGCGGCCCCCUGGACGAAGACUGACGCUCAGGUGCGAAAGCGUGGGGAGCAAACAGGAUUAGAUACCCUGGUAGUCCACGCCGUAAACGAUGUCGACUUGGAGGUUGUGCCCUUGAGGCGUGGCUUCCGGAGCUAACGCGUUAAGUCGACCGCCUGGGGAGUACGGCCGCAAGGUUAAAACUCAAAUGAAUUGACGGGGGCCCGCACAAGCGGUGGAGCAUGUGGUUUAAUUCGAUGCAACGCGAAGAACCUUACCUGGUCUUGACAUCCACGGAAGUUUUCAGAGAUGAGAAUGUGCCUUCGGGAACCGUGAGACAGGUGCUGCAUGGCUGUCGUCAGCUCGUGUUGUGAAAUGUUGGGUUAAGUCCCGCAACGAGCGCAACCCUUAUCCUUUGUUGCCAGCGGUCCGGCCGGGAACUCAAAGGAGACUGCCAGUGAUAAACUGGAGGAAGGUGGGGAUGACGUCAAGUCAUCAUGGCCCUUACGACCAGGGCUACACACGUGCUACAAUGGCGCAUACAAAGAGAAGCGACCUCGCGAGAGCAAGCGGACCUCAUAAAGUGCGUCGUAGUCCGGAUUGGAGUCUGCAACUCGACUCCAUGAAGUCGGAAUCGCUAGUAAUCGUGGAUCAGAAUGCCACGGUGAAUACGUUCCCGGGCCUUGUACACACCGCCCGUCACACCAUGGGAGUGGGUUGCAAAAGAAGUAGGUAGCUUAACCUUCGGGAGGGCGCUUACCACUUUGUGAUUCAUGACUGGGGUGAAGUCGUAACAAGGUAACCGUAAG